UACGUAGGGAGCAAGCGUUGUCCGGAAUCAUUGGGCGUAAAGAGCGCGUAGGCGGCCCUGUAAGUCCGCUGUGAAAGUCAAGGGCUCAACCCUUGAAUGCCGGUGGAUACUGCAGGGCUAGAGUCCGGAAGAGGCGAGUGGAAUUCCCGGUGUAGCGGUGAAAUGCGCAGAUAUCGGGAGGAACACCAAUGGCGAAGGCAGCUCGCUGGGACGGUACUGACGCUGAGACGCGAAAGCGUGGGAGCAAACAGG
rnacentral:rRNA from 1 species